rnacentral:rRNA from 1 species
UACGGGGGGGGCAAGCGUUGUUCGGAAUUACUGGGCGUAAAGGGCGCGUAGGUGGCCAACUAAGUCAGACGUGAAAUCCCUCAGCUUAACUGGGGAACUGCGUCUGAUACUGGAUGGCUUGAGAUUGGGAGAGGGAUGCGGAAUUCCAGGUGUAGCGGUGAAAUGCGUAGAUAUCGGGAGGAACACCUGUGGCGAAAGCGGCUCACUGGACCACAACUGACGCUGAGGCGCGAAAGCUAGGGGAGCAAACAGG